rnacentral:rRNA from 1 species
GGUUUUUUGUUAUAAUAAAAAAUCAGGCCUGCUCAAUGCUUCAGUAAAUAGCCGCGGUAUUAUGACCGUGCAAAGGUAGCAUAAUCAUUCGUCUUUUAAUUUAGGACUGGUAUGAAUGGUUAGACUAAAUAAUGUUGUCUUAUAGUAAUAUUUUGAAAUUUAUUUUUUAGUAAAAAAGCUAAAAUUUUUUUUAGGGACAAGAAGACCCUAUCAAGCUUAACAAAGAGUUUUUAUUUUUCUUAAAGUAAAGAGUGUUUGUUUAACUGGGGCAGUAAAUAAAUAAAAAUUUUGUUUAAAAAUUAUGAAUUCUAUUCUCAUAAAAACGAAAAAUUUUCAAAUAGGAAUAAGUUACUGUAGGGAUAACAGCGUAAUUCCUUUUAAGAGUCCUUAUCAUCACAGGAGUUUGCGACCUCGAUGUUGGAUUAAAAAUUCUAAAUCGCGCAAUAGCGAUUCAAGAAAGUCUGUUCGACUUUAAAAUUUUUCCA